rnacentral:rRNA from 1 species
GUGGGGAAUAUUGCACAAUGGGCGAAAGCCUGAUGCAGCAACGCCGCGUGAGGGACGACGGCCUUCGGGUUGUAAACCUCUUUUAGUAGGGAAGAAGCGAAAGUGACGGUACCUGCAGAAAAAGCACCGGCUAACUACGUGCCAGCAGCCGCGGUAAUACGUAGGGUGCAAGCGUUAUCCGGAAUUAUUGGGCGUAAAGAGCUCGUAGGCGGUCUGUCGCGUCUGCUGUGAAAACUGGAGGCUCAACCCCCAGCCUGCAGUGGGUACGGGCAGACUAGAGUGCGGUAGGGGAGAUUGGAAUUCCUGGUGUAGCGGUGGAAUGCGCAGAUAUCAGGAGGAACACCGAUGGCGAAGGCAGAUCUCUGGGCCGUAACUGACGCUGAGGAGCGAAAGCGUGGGGAGCGAACAGGAUUAGAAACCCGUGUAGUCC